rnacentral:rRNA from 1 species
GACGAACGCUGGCGGCGUGCAUAACACAUGCAAGUCAAGGGGGCCCGCAAGGGCAACCGGCGAACGGGUGCGUAACACGUGAGCAACCUACCUCUGUGUGGGGCAUAGCCGGCCUAACGGCCGGGUAAUUCCGCAUACGAUCUUUCGGGGACAUCCCUGGGAGAACAAACGCUUCGGCGGCACGGAGAGGGGCUCGCGGCCUAUCAGCUAGUUGGUGAGGGUAACGGCCCACCAAGGCGACGACGGGUAGCUGGUCUGAGAGGAUGGCCAGCCACAUUGGGACUGAGAAACGGCCCAGACUCCUACGGGAGGCAGCAGUGGGGAAUCUUGCGCAAUGGCCUAACGGCUGACGCAAGCGACGCCGCGUGAGGGAUGAAGCUCUU